UGCACAAUGGGGGAAACCCUGAUGCAGCAACGCCGCGUGAGUGAUGACGGCCUUCGGGUUGUAAAGCUCUGUCUUCAGGGACGAUAAUGACGGUACCUGAGGAGGAAGCCACGGCUAACUACGGGCCAGCAGCCGCGGUAAUACGUAGGUGGCAGGCGUUGUCCGGAUUUACUGGGCGUAAAGGGAGCGUAGGCGGACUUUUAAGUGAGAUGUGAAAUACCCGGGCUCAACCUGGGUGCUGCAUUUCAAACUGGAAGUCUAGGGUGCAGGAGAGGAGCGUGGGAUGCCUAGUGUAGCGGUGAAAUGCGUAGAGAUUAGGAAGAAC
rnacentral:rRNA from 1 species